UACGUAGGGGGCAAGCGUUGUCCGGAAUUAUUGGGCGUAAAGAGCGCGUAGGCGGUCCGAUAAGUCGGCUGUGAAAGUCAGGGGCUCAACCCUUGAAAGCCGGCCGAUACUGUCGGACUAGAGUUCGGAAGAGGCAAGUGGAAUUCCCGGUGUAGCGGUGGAAUGCGCAGAUAUCAGGAGGAACACCAAUAGCGAAGGCAGCUCGCUGGGACGUUACUGACACUGAGGCGCGAAAGCGUGGGGAGCGAACAGG
rnacentral:rRNA from 1 species